rnacentral:rRNA from 1 species
CAGUAGCCACGGUAAUACAGAGGGUGCAAGCGUUAAUCGGAUUUACUGGGCGUAAAGGGCGCGUAGGUGGUUAUUUAAGUGAGAUGUGAAAGCCCCGGGCUUAACCUGGGAACUGCAUCUUAUACUGGGUAACUGGAGUGCAGUAGAGGGUAGUGGAAUUUCCGGUGUAGCGGUGAAAUGCGUAGAUAUCGGAAGGAACACCAGUGGCGAAGGCGGCUACCUGGACUGAGACUGACACUGAGGCGCGAGAGCGUGGGGAGCAAACAGGAUUAGAUACCCGAGUAGUCCCUGUCUCUUAUAC